rnacentral:lncRNA from 8 species
AUGUAUUUUUUAGGACAGUGGGGUACAUUAGAAUAUUGUUCCUCUCUCUAUCAGUUGGUAAGAUGUACUGUAUGCAUGACUGCUUUGGAUAAAAGUGUCUGCUAUUAUGGCAGAUUUUAUAUUAAAAGUUAUCACCGCGCUCAAACCCGAGAGACCAAGGGGAAAGAUCCGUCUGUCGCUGGCUGCUUCAGCCUGCCUCGCUUUCCAGCCUGCCUCGCUUUCCAGCCUGCCUCGCUUUCCAGCCUGCCUCGCUUUCCAGCCUGCCUCGCUUUCCAGCCUGCCUCUCGCUUUCCAGCCUGCCUCGCUUUCCAGCCUGCCUCGCUUUCCAGCCUGCCUCGCUUUCCAGCCUGCCUCGCUUUCCAGCCUGCCUCGCUUUCCAGCCUGCCUCUCGCUUCAGCCUGCCUCGCUUUCCAGCCUGCCUCGCUUUCCAGCCUGCCUCGCUUUCCAGCCUGCCUCGCUUUCCAGCCUGCCUCUCGCUUUCCAGCCUGCUUCGCUUUCCAGCCUGCCUCGCUUUCCAGCCUGCCUCUCGCUUUCCAGCCUGCCUCUCGCUUUCCAGCCUGCCUCGCUUUCCAGCCUGCCUCGCUUUCCAGCCUGCCUCGCUUUCCAGCCUGCCUCGCUUUCCAGCCUGCCUCGCUUUCCAACCUGCCUCUCGCUUUCCAGCCUGCCUCGCUUUCCAGCCUGCCUCGCUUUCCAGCCUGCCUCGCUUUCCAGCCUGCCUCGCUUUCCAACCUGCCUCGCUUUCCAGCCUGCCUCUCGCUUUCCAGCCUGCCUCUCGCUUUCCAGCCUGCCUCUCGCUUUCCAGCCUGCCUCUCGCUCCAGCCUGCCACUCGCUUUCCAGCCUGCCUCGCUUUCCAGCCUGCCUCGCUUUCCAGCCUGCCACUCGCUUUCCAGCCUGCCACUCGCUUUCCAGCCUGCCUCUCGCUUUCCAGCCUGCCUCGCUUUCCAGCCUGCCUCUCGCUUUCCAGCCUGCCUCUCGCUUUCCAGCCUGCCUCGCUUUCCAGCCUGCCUCGCUUUCCAGCCUGCCUCGCUUUCCAACCUGCCUCGCUUUCCAGCCUGCCUCGCUUUCCAGCCUGCCUCGCUUUCCAGCCUGCCUCUCGCUUUCCAGCCUGCAACCUGCCUCGCUUUCCAGCCUGCAACCUGCCUCGCUUUCCAGCCUGCCUCUCGCUUUCCAGCCUGCCUCUCGCUUUCCAGCCUGCCUCUCGCUUUCCAGCCUGCCUCUCGCUUUCCAGCCUGCCUCGCUUUCCAGCCUGCCUCGCUUUCCAGCCUGCCUCUCGCUUUCCAACCUUCUUCGCUUUCCAGCCUGCCUCUCGCUUUCCAGCCUGCCUCGCUUUCCAGCCUGCGCCUCGCUUUCCAGCCUGCCUCGCGCUUUCCAGCCUGCCUCGCGCUUUCCAGCCUGCCUCGCGCUUUCCAGCCUGCCUCUCGCUUUCCAGCCUGCCUCUCGCUUUCCAACCUGCAACCUGCUUCGCUUUCCAGCCUGCCUCUCGCUUUCCAGCCUGCCUCUCGCUUUCCAGCCUGCCUCGCGCUUUCCAGCCUGCCUCCCGCUUUCCAGCCUGCCUCUCGCUUUCCAGCCUGCCUCUCGCUUUCCAACCUGCAACCUGCUUCGCUUUCCAGCCUGCCUCUCGCUUUCCAGCCUGCCUCUCGCUUUCCAGCCUGCCUCUCGCUUUCCAGCCUGCCUCUCGCUUUCCAACCUGCCUCUCGCUUUCCAACCUGCCUCUCGCUUUCCAACCACUCUGA